UCUCUUGUGCUCGGGCAUGUGCUGUCGCCAGUGAGGUUUCUACCGAGGCACAGCCUAUUUGCUGAUUGCAAAUUACACAUCCGAACCCGUCUCUUAGCUUCGGCUAUGAGCAAUUUUUGGAAAAAUUUCACUU
rnacentral:snRNA from 19 species